rnacentral:rRNA from 1 species
UACAGGGGGUGCAAACGUUGCUCGGAAUUAUUGGGCGUAAAGCGCGCGUAGGCGGCUACUUAAGUCGGAUGUGAAAGCCCCUGGCUCAACUGGGGAAGUGCACCCGAAACUGAGUGGCUUGAGUGCGAAAGAGGGUCGCGGAAUUCCCGGUGUAGCGGUGAAAUGCGUAGAGAUCGGAAGGAACGUCGAUGGCGAAGGCAGGCACCUGGCUUGAUACUGACGCUGAAGCGCGAAAGCGUGGGGAGCGAACAGG